rnacentral:rRNA from 1 species
CAGUAGCCGCGGUAAUACAGAGGAUGCAAGCGUUAUCCGGAAUGAUUGGGCAUAAAGUGUCUGUAGGUGGCUUCUCAAGUCCGCCGUCAAAUCCCAGGGCUCAACCGUGGACAGGCGGUGGAAACUACCAAGCUGGAGUAUGGUAGGGGCAGAGGGAAUUUCCGGUGGAGCGGUGGAAUGCGUUGAGAUCGGAAAGAACACCAACAGCGAAAUCACUCUGCCAGGCCGACACUGACACUGAGAGACGAAAUCUAGGGGAGCAAAUGGGAUUAGAUACCCGCGUAGUCCCUGUCUCUUAUAC